rnacentral:rRNA from 1 species
GGGGUAGCCCGUAACGUUCGAAGCUGGCUCCAGUUCGUAACAAGGGUAAGCCGUAAGAGUUUGAUCCUGGCUCAGUCGUAACAAUGGAUAGCCGUAUAGUUUUCUGCCCAGUAGUGGGGGAUAGCCCGGGGAAACCCGGAUUAAUACCGCAUACGUCCUACGGGAGAAAGCAGGGGAUCUUCGGACCUUGCGCUAUUGGAUGAGCCUAAGUCGGAUUAGCUAGUUGGUGGGGUAAAGGCCUACCAAGGCGACGAUCCGUAGCUGGUCUGAGAGGAUGAUCAGCCACAUCGGGACUGAGACACGGCCCGAACUCCUACGGGAGGCAGCAGUGGGGAAUAUUGGACAAUGGGGGCAACCCUGAUCCAGCCAUGCCGCGUGUGUGAAGAAGGCUUUCGGGUUGUAAAGCACUUUCAGUAGGGAGGAAAACCUUAUGGUUAAUACCCAUGAGGCUUGACGUUACCUACAGAAGAAGCACCGGCUAACUCCGUGCCAGCAGCCGCGGUAAUACGGAGGGUGCAAGCGUUAAUCGGAAUUACUGGGCGUAAAGCGCGCGUAGGUGGUUUGGUAAGCGAGAUGUGAAAGCCCCGGGCUUAACCUGGGAACGGCAUUUCGAACUGUCAGACUAGAGUGUGGUAGAGGGUAGUGGAAUUUCCUGUGUAGCGGUGAAAUGCGUAGAUAUAGGAAGGAACACCAGUGGCGAAGGCGGCUACCUGGACCAACACUGACACUGAGGUGCGAAAGCGUGGGGAGCAAACAGGAUUAGAUACCCUGGUAGUCCACGCCGUAAACGAUGUCAACUAGCCGUUGGGACUCUUGAAGUCUUAGUGGCGCAGCUAACGCACUAAGUUGACCGCCUGGGGAGUACGGCCGCAAGGUUAAAACUCAAAUGAAUUGACGGGGGCCCGCACAAGCGGUGGAGCAUGUGGUUUAAAUUCGACGCAACGCGAAGAACCCUUACCUGGCCUUGACAUCCAGAGAACUUUCCAGAGAUGGAUUGGUGCCUUCGGGAACUCUGAGACAGGUGCUGCAUGGCCGUCGUCAGCUCGUGUCGUGAGAUGUUGGGUUAAGUCCCGUAACGAGCGCAACCCCUAUCCCUGGUUGCUAGCAGGUAAUGCUGAGAACUCCAGGGAGACUGCCGGUGACAAACCGGAGGAAGGUGGGGAUGACGUCAGGUCAUCAUGGCCCUUACGGCCAGGGCUACACACGUGCUACAAUGGCGCGUACAGAGGGCUGCCAACUCGCGAGAGUGAGCCAAUCCCUUAAAACGCGUCGUAGUCCGGAUCGGAGUCUGCAACUCGACUCCGUGAAGUCGGAAUCGCUAGUAAUCGCGAAUCAGAAUGUCGCGGUGAAUACGUUCCCGGGCCUUGUACACACCGCCCGUCACACCAUGGGAGUGGAUUGCACCAGAAGUAGUUAGUCUAACCUUCGCGAGGACGAUUACGCAUCGGUUGUUCUCCC